CCUACGGGAGGCUGCAGUGAGGAAUAUUGGUCAAUGGACGAGAGUCUGAACCAGCCAAGUAGCGUGAAGGAUGACUGCCCUAUGGGUUGUAAACUUCUUUUAUAUGGGAAUAAAAUGUUCCACGUGUGGGAUUUUGUAUGUACCAUAUGAAUAAGGAUCGGCUAACUCCGUGCCAGCAGCCGCGGUAAUACGGAGGAUCCGAGCGUUAUCCGGAUUUAUUGGGUUUAAAGGGAGCGUAGGUGGAUUGUUAAGUCAGUUGUGAAAGUUUGCGGCUCAACCGUAAAAUUGCAGUUGAAACUGGCAGUAUGGAGUAGAGUAGAGGUGGGCGGAAUGCGGGGGGUGGCGGUGAAAGGCUUAGAUAUCACGAAGAACUCCGAUGGCGAGGGCAGCUCACGGGACUGCAACGGACACUGAGGCUCGAAAGUGUGGGUAUCAAACAGGAUUAGAUACCCCUGUAGUC
rnacentral:rRNA from 1 species